UACGUACGAGGCGAGCGUUAUCCGGAAUUACUGGGCGUAAAGCGCACGCAGGCGGUUCGCCAAGUUUGGAGUGACAGUUGUCGGCUCAACCGACAAAGGACUUCAAAAACUGGUGAACUUGAGGACGAGAGAGGAACAUGGAACUCCAGGUGUAGUAGUGAAAUGCGUAGAUAUCUGGAAGAACACCAAUGGCGAAGGCAAUGUUCUGGCUCGUUUCUGACGCUCAGGUGCGAAAGCCAGGGGAGCGAACGGG
rnacentral:rRNA from 1 species